rnacentral:rRNA from 1 species
GAUGAACGCUGGCGGCAUGCUUAAUACAUGCAAGUCGGACGGACAGUGGUGUUUCUAGUGGCUGUCGGGUUAGUAACGCGUAAGAACCUGCCCCUGGGAGGGGAACCAUAACUGGAUACGGUAGCUAAUACCCCCUAGGCCGAGUACCAAAAGGAGGAAUCCGCCCGAGGGGGGGCUUGCGUCUGAUUAUCUUGUUGGAGAGGUGAUAGCUUACCAAGGCGAUGAUCAGUAGCUGGUCCGAGAGGAUGAUCGGCCACACUGCGACUGAGACACGGCCCAGGCUACUACGGGGGACAGCAGUAGGGAAUGUUCCGCAAUGGGCGAAAGCCUGACGAAGCAAUGCGGCGUGGAAAUAGAAGGCCCACGGGUCGAGAAAUUCUUUACUCGGAGAAGAAACAAUGACGGUAUCUGAGGAAUAAGCAUCGGCUAACUCUGUG